CUCACUAUCAGAGUCUGCUGC
rnacentral:misc_RNA from 1 species